rnacentral:snRNA from 1 species
AUACUUACCUGGCAGGGGAGAUACCAUGAUCACGAAGGUGGUUUUCCCAGGGCGAGGCUUAUCCAUUGCACUCCGGAUGUGCUGACCCCUGCGAUUUCCCCAAAUGUGGGAAACUCGACUGCAUAAAAA